rnacentral:lncRNA from 10 species
UGCCAUGCUGGUACUGAUGCCUUAAAAAUGAUGAUAUAAACACAGCCACAGGAGUCAGCCUGUGAGUCCCUGAUGGGGACCAGAGGAGAAAUGUCCUGACUUACCCUUCAGCCCACACUCUGCAAACAGAAGUGACCCAGCCCUCAUCUAUCACCUCAAAAGCUAAACAACUUCCUCAGACAGCCCCAUGGAAUAUAAAUCAGGAGGGCCCUAGCUUCUAAGAAACCAGUACACAACUACAGCCCUCAGAAAUACUCAUCCUCAUCUUCUUUCUUCCUCUCCUUUCAGAAUAGGGUGCUAGCAAGUCUUAUCUGCAGAUGAGGCCAGGCAAGGUGGCUCAUGUUUGUAGUCCCAGCACUUUGGGAGGCUGAGGUGGGUGGAUCACUUGAGGCCAGGAGUUUGAGACCAGCCUGGUCAACAUGGUGAAACCCUGUCUCCACUAAAACUACAAAAAUUAGCCAGGCAUGGUGGUGCACGCCUGUAAUCGCAGCUACUCAGGAGGCUGAGCAAGGAGAAUCGCUUGAACCUGGGAGGUGGAGUUUGUAGCGAGCUGAGAUUGUGCCACUGCCCUCCAGCCUGGGCAACAGAGUGAGAUUCCAUCUCAAAUGAAUAAACAAACAAACAAACAAAAUAACUGCAGAUGAAGUAGGAGGUCACCUUAAGCAUGUUACUCAAAUUCUCUGAGCAUGGGUCCUCAUCUGUAUCUAUCUCAUGGGUUUGAGGUGGGAGGUAAAUGAGAUCAUUCAUUCAGUUCUUAGUAUAGUACUACCUUGAUAAAUAUCAUCAUUUCAGCAGCUGAAGGCCAUUCUCAGGUAUAAAGAAGGAAAAACAACACUUCUAUACUAAUCCCAAACAAGAAGGCUAUAUGGGCCAGGGCUUCAGUGAUUCAUGAUGUCCAAGCCUUCUUGCUCCUGCUCUCUCUCACGCCAAGUCUGUGCCAGACCUGGUUGCACUUGGCAACCUCAGCGCCUCCAACUUGUUUGAAUUCUCACAGAGAAUCCCAAUGGGUACUCCGACCUGCUGGCGCAGAGACAAAUUCAAACACACUGGGGUGGCAGUGAAAUGUAGUAUAAGAAAUAGUCACAAGGAAUGUUCAAGCUCUCAGAAUGCCUGCAGAGCUGGGGUUUACACAGAGGGCCCCACUUUUCCAGACAGGCAGGGUAGCGAGCUUACAAAUUAUUUCCUUUCAUGCAUACUUUCACGAUAGCAUCAUAACACAUGCAAUAAACACGUUUGGCUCCCUACUGAACAGGUACAGACACGACAGCUUUUCUGUUUUAAAGCUCCUGAAUGCCAAAGCCUUCUCCGCUGCUCUGAUGCCCCAAACUUCCCUGCCUGGGAAUUGGAUCUGGGGUAAUGAGUGACCCAGCAGGCAGAGAUGACAGAUUCCUGCCUAAUGUAGCAAUGCUGGGACAACCUGGAGUAUCUGGUGUGGCGGGCAGGCACAGGCAGGAUGGGAGAGGCAGCCGAAGAAGGCAGGAGGGUCAGAGUUGGGGAGGACACGUGAGGACAGAAACAGGCUGGAGCGACGGGCUUUGAAGACGAGGAAGAGGCCACAAGCCAAGGAAUAUGGGCAGCCCCUAGAAGCUGGGAAAGAAAAGGAAAUGGCUUCUCCUCUAGAGCCUCCAGAAGGAACACGGCCAAGCCAGCACCUUGAUUUUAGCCUUGUGAGACCCACUUUGCACUUCUGGCCUCCAGAAAUGGAAGAUCAUGCAUUCAUGUUGUUUUAAGCUACUGGAUUUGUGGUGAUUUGUUACAACAGGAGAUUAAUACAAUCAUGAAAAGGAGAACCCGAGGAACUUUCAUAAGGACAAGGAGUUGACAGUGAGUUCCUGGGCACUGCAGGCAGGUGACUGGGAAGCCUGGUGCUGCCCUGGCCCUGCCCUCAGUGACUGCUGCUCUCUGGCUGUGUGCUCUUUGCCACAGAUGGAGGCCAGCAGGGGGCACUGAGCCAGCAGGGCUGCCUUUAAACAAUCAAACACACAUCAAUACAAAGGCUGGGGCUUUGCCCACGGAGAGGGCAGGCUGAUGGGUGUAUUAUCCAAUAAGCAGACCUGAGCAGCGGGGACGUUUUCACCCAUGACCCUUGGCCCACCCCAAUCAGUGUCACUCAAAGAGAGAUCAGACUGGAAGGGGAAACUGGAAGAAAGAAAAAUACAUCACCUCCACCCCCUACUCCAGGUUGCUGUCCAGCAAUUACUGAAGAUUCCCUUGGACUUCUCUGGAAGGAGACAUGUAAGAGACUUCAAGGCAGGUUGUGAGCAAGUUUGCCUUCUCUCUGUCUAUUCUCUGAUUAAAUGUCUUCUAAGGACAUUUUCUUCUCUGGUAUAAGAGAGCCUAGGAAAUCCUACCUCAAAAAAAAAAAAAAAAGGUGAAGACCAAUAAUUUACUCUGUUCUCAUGACAUUUCUAGGAGACAAGAACCAUCAGUCCCAUUAUAUAAUUUGGGACCCUGAAUUACAGAGAGGGCAAGCAACAUGGACAUGGCCACACAGCCAACCAGAGCGAUUCACUCAAAGCAAAACGCAGCUCUCCCGGCGCCUGCACUGGUACUGCCCUCUGUGUGCUCACGCUUAGUCUCAGGCUCUGGCUAACCGGGUCAGUAGGGCGUGGCCUCUGGGUAGGUGGUCCUAGUGGAAUGCAGAGAUAGAAAACCAUUAAACCUGUCAUCACAGGGCAAGCUACUGACGCCUCAGUGGGAAGAUUUUCCAGACCAGAGCUCUGAAUUGCUCUGGGGUGUGUGUGUCAGUUUGGAAGGUAAUCAGGGGAGGAGGGAAGGUCCUAAAUAACAGCCAAGUCAAGGUAUUUGCACUCUACUUUGCAUAAAUAAACCCACAAAGAGCUUUCAUUUUUUUCUAGCAUCAAUACAAAUCUUUUUCUAGCUUUUUUCUUAUUCAUCUGCCCUGUUUCUCCCUCCCUUUAUCAUUCUUCUGAGACCGCCUGGAAUCUACCUUUAGGAGCAAAGCUAAAAGAUUCUCCAAACUCACUGCCAGCGGAUUGAAGUGGCUUAUGCCGAACAGCUGCUGAACCUUCAGGACCAGCUCUAUGAGGGCCCACGGCUCGGCAUGAACGCCAGCAGCUCCACACACUGUGGGCGAUCUCCACUGCCCUUUCACGCAGAGAGACUUCUGCAGAGCCACCCUCAUUUCUUUCUUUCUUUUUUUUUUUGAGACAGAGAUUCUCUCUGUUGCCCAGGCCAGAGUGCAGAGGCGUGAUCGCGGCUCACUGCAACCUCUGCCUCCUGGGUUCCAGCGAUUCUCCUGCCUCAGCCUCCCAAGUAGCUGGGACUACAGGCGUGUGCCACCAUACCUGGUUGAUUUUGUAUUUUUAGUAGAGAUGGGGUUUCUUUCUUUUUUUUUUUUUUGAAACGGAGUCUCACUCUGUUGCCCAGGCUGGAGUGCAGUGGUGUGAUCUUGACUCACCACAACCUCUGCCUCCCGGUUUCAAGUGAUUCUCCUGCCUCAGCCUCCCGAGUAGCUGGGAUUACAGGUGUGCACCACCGCACCUGGCUAAUUUUUGUAUUUUUAGUAGAGACAGAGUUUCGCCAUGUUGGCCAGGCUGGUUUCA